CUGCUCACUUUCACAGCACAUAUACUAAAGUUGGAACAAUAUAGAUGAUGUAGUACAGCCCAUGCACAAAGAUGACAAGCAAAUGCAUGAAGCCUUCUGUAUUUUG
ensembl:snRNA U6 U6 spliceosomal RNA